ACUCAAAUGAAUAGACGGGGACUUGCACAAGCGGUGGAUCAUGUGGCUUAAUUCGUAGCUAAGCGAAGAACCUUACCAGGGCUAGAAACCAAGCUGCAUCCGACCCGAAAGGGACGGAGCCUUCGAGGGUGCUUGGCAGGUGAUGCAUGGUUGUCGUCAGUUCGUGGCUUGAGCUGUUCCCUUCAGUGGGGUAACGAACGCAACCCUCGUUGUCUGUUAUUUUUUCAGGCGAGACUGCCCCCUCACGGGGGAGGAAGGUGGGGAUGACGCCAAAUCAGCAUGUCCCUUGAUGCCCUGGGCUGCACACGUGAUACAAUGGAUGGUACAAAAGGACGCAAUACCGUAAGGUGGAGCAAAUCCCAAAAACCAUCCCCAGUACGGAUAGAGGUCUGCAACCGACCUCUUGAAGCCGGAAUCGCUAGUAAUCCUGGGUCAGCCAUACCAGGGUGAAUACGUUCUCAAGUCUUGUACACACCGCCCGU
rnacentral:rRNA from 1 species